rnacentral:rRNA from 1 species
AUUGAACGCUGGCGGCAGGCCUAACACAUGCAAGUCGAGCGGUAGAGAGAAGCUUGCUUCUCUUGAGAGCGGCGGACGGGUGAGUAAUGCCUAGGAAUCUGCCUGAUAGUGGGGGAUAACGUCCGGAAACGGACGCUAAUACCGCAUACGUCCUACGGGAGAAAGUGGGGGCUCUUCGGACCUCACGCUAUCAGAUGAGCCUAGGUCGGAUUAGCUAGUUGGUGGGGUAAAGGCUCACCAAGGCGACGAUCCGUAACUGGUCUGAGAGGAUGAUCAGUCACAAUGGAACUGAGACACGGUCCAGACUCCUACGGGACGCAGCAGUGGGGAAUAUUGGACAAUGGGCGAAAGCCUGAUCCAGCCAUGCCGCGUGUGUGAAGAAGGUCUUCGGAUUGUAAAGCACUUUAAGUUGGGAGGAAGGGUCGUUACCUAAUACGUGGCGAUUUUGACGUUACCGACAGAAUAAGCACCGGCUAACUCUGUGCCAGCCGCCGCGGUAACAC